rnacentral:tRNA from 1 species
AGUAAAAUGGCCGAGGAUAGGCGAUAAAUUGUAAAUUUAUUUACGGGGUUUCUCUUUUACU